GGCAAUUCAAGAAAAUAUUAAGGGGGAAAGAAAAGCGCAAUCUGUUCGUCCACAGUUUGUCAACAAAUCCCCACUAACACCUGUGAUUUCUAGUGGAGUGCAAGAGUGCAACCAGCUAGACCUGGUUGAUUUCUCGGACAUGCCCAUUGAAGUCGAUAAUGAUGGACUGAUUUACAAGUAUGUUGUGUGUCUUGGACAUCUUUAGCAGGUUUCUUUUUCUCCGCCCACUUCCGGGAAAAGCUGCGUACCUUGUGGCUCAAGAGUUGUUGGACUUGUACUACGUAAUUGGUCCUCCGGCUGUUAUACAGACGGAUCAAGGAGGCGAGUUUCGUGGGAUGGUAGAGCUGUUGGCCUCAUCCAUGAGAAUUAGAAUUAUACGAAGCCAGCCGUAUCAUCCAGAAUCUCAAGGAAAAGUAGAAAACGUCAAUCAAACUCCAAAGGAUCGUAUUCGUUUUGAUGUUUUAGAAAACGGUACGGAAGGAGUAAAUUGGGUCGAACAGCUGCCGGUAUACCAGCAACUCUACAAUACAUCGCCUCACCAAGCUCUCGAGAGAGUAAUUCAGUACUACGUGGUCACUUGCCAACGGAAACAAGGGAACAGCAAAGCCAAAAUGAGAGCAACCAUGUUAGUAAAAAGGUCGCUGAAAACAUUGAAGAAGAAGAAACUUCUAGUGAAUUUUAUUUUCAUGACAGCAGGAAAGUACAUCACUGCAUUGCUACAUGGAUAGAAUCUUGUCGACUUAUUCGGGAAGCCGCAUUGAAAUCGUCCAACAAAGCUGCCGCGAAGAUGAUCGCGAGAAAACUGGGAGUGAGAAUUCCUACGGAAUUUUUGUUGGAGAUGAAGUACUCGUCAGACUUCCGGAUAUACGUUCUGGUCGAAGACGCAAACAGAAAUUCUUUCGUCUUCUUACUUCUUUACGCGGUCACGUCAUCGAGGCAGAUCCAAACAGGUAUCGCUACCGUGUAGAGUACGACUCUAGCGAUGGCCCAAUUAACCGCUGGUUUUCCGUAAAUGACAUUACGUCGCCAACUAUGCAAACAGAGAGAGAACGGAACACCUCUCGUGCUAGUUAUAGUAGUACGAAACAACAGAUUGUUCCAGAAAUAGCAGAACGUUGUUAUUCACUGGACGAAGCCACUGUACACACCGAAUCAGCAGCAGCAUUGGCAAACGACGAAGGCAAUUGCAACGAGUCUUCCCAGUGCGCUAAAAGACAACUGCUUGCCAAGUGACUGUUGAUGCUCGUACUCGUGAUUCUAAAGUCGAGAAAGCGGAAAAGGGAAAUAGAAACUGGCGAUGUUAUGUUCCUGCUGAUGCUCUAAACCAUUUGAGUGAGGCUUCCGCCAUUAUGUCUCGUUUGGCAGUUCUGAAUGUGAACAGUGAUGCUCACGCGAAUCUAGUUGCCGCUUGUAGCCUAAUUUCACAAGCAGCAAUGUUGCUUAGCAAUGCUCAAAGUAACAUCACUAUCGAGUCUACCAAUAAGAGUCCUUUUAGAAAAGGCAUGGAAGUUCCAUUGGUGUCAUCUUUCUUGUCAGUCGAAACUUUGUCAACCAACGAAGGAAUAAUCUACAAGCAGACAACCAAAACACACAGAUCUGAUAACCGAUGCUCAUGCAACUCAACUUGUAAACGUGUCAGAAGCCCGAAAUGCUCUUUUGGAAAGCAUAAAUUGUGCUGUAAAAAAGAUCAUAGACUGUGUGCCUUAAAGUCUCACAACAGAACUGCUGCUGAUGAAUGGGAAGAUCAUUUGAACAAGCGCACAGCUAAUCUCUUGGUAGCAAAGACUACAAAAGAAAUUGUUUCUUCUGACCUGAAACUUCAAAAGUAACCAAAUUAAUGGAAAACACAAAAUUUAGCUCUUCUGACACUCCAGUUGCUCUACCUGCGCUAAAGAUAUUGAAUUUGAGCUCAUGAUUCAAUUUGUGCAAUUUAUGUCAGAGAGAGAAGUGCAAGAAGAAAAGGAUGCUGAAUCUUUGAUGACAGAACUUGCGGCAAGUGUAAGCAUGCACCAACUAGAGAACACUAGUAGUGGCAAUUGCUUAUUUGAGUCAUUCGCUCUUCUCAUCUACGGAAGCAGUUCACUGCACAGGCAGGUCAGAGAGGAGGCAGUUGAGUACAUCACAAAUAGCUCUGACACUUUCAUGGCUGCAGUAGUCGCAAUUGAAAACGACGACCAUGCAGCACCUGCUCGUGCACAAUUCAAUCGCUAUUUGAGCAAUAUGUCAAGAGACACACAUUGGGGAGAUGCUGUUUGUAUUGAAGCUCUUGCAAUGCGCCACAAAUUGCGAGUGUCAGUUUAUGUUU